UAUCCAAGGUUGCCGCAGCAUCGAAGGGCCCAACCAUAUUGGUCUUGAUGUCUGGGGGGCCUAUUGAUGUGUCUUUCGCUGAGAAUGAUCCAAAAAUUGGAGGCAUCGUAUGGGCUGGUUAUCCUGGCCAAGCUGGAGGAGCAGCCAUUUCUGAUGUCUUGUUUGGAACUACUAACCCAGGUUUGGUUUUAGUAGUGCUUGUUCGAGUGUCUUAUUAGGCUCACUUCAUCAGGAAUGUAACAGAGAAUAACGACUUGUUUUUUUGUCUUGCAGGAGGCAAGCUACCUAUGACAUGGUACCCACAAGAUUAUGUCACAAAUUUGCCUAUGACAAACAUGGCCAUGCGACCAAGCAAAUCAAAUGGCUAUCCUGGAAGAACCUAUAGAUUCUAUAAAGGUAAAGUGGUGUACCCAUUUGGUCACGGAAUAAGCUACACAAAUUUUGUUCAUACCAUUGCAAGUGCACCAACAAUGGUUUCUGUACCCCUUGUUGGACACCGCCAGGCCUCCAGAAAUGCAACCAUUUCAGGAAAGGCAAUCAGAGUUACACAUGCUAGAUGUAAUAGGCUGUCGUUUGGAGUGCAAGUAGACGUGAAAAACACUGGCUCCAUGGAUGGAACUCACACAUUGCUCGUCUACUCUAA
rnacentral:lncRNA from 1 species